GGGGAUGUAGCUCAGUGGUAGAGUGCUUGCCUAGCAAGUACAAGGUCCUGGGUUUAAUCCCCAGUACCA
rnacentral:tRNA from 1 species